ACUGCCCUAAAAAUUAAAGUCUAUUUUUAAAAAUUAAUUAUCAAUAAUAAAAAAUAGACAAGCCACAUACUUUCCCAGUGCACUUCUUCCCAGGCGAUGCUCUUCUGAUUCUCGGUAGUAAGUCUGUUUGCCAAUUUCUCUUUCCCAGAAGCGUUUGAGCUCGUCACAGGUGUUCCGGCAGAAGACCUCCCGGCGGACGUACUGAUUGUUCAUCCCCUGAAAAAGAAAAUAUCAGCCGAACCCCCGUAGAACACGCUCUCUUGGACUCUGGAAGACAUGAAAACUGAUUCUGGGAAAGACUGAACAACAUGACCAUGAUCCCACAGCUGUACAACCACUCCUGAAUUUGACGUGUCUCCUGAUCCUUUUUCUAGGUAUAUGUACAAAUAUAUGUAGAAAUAAGACGUGUGGCUUUUUAAAUAUAA